GCCACCGUGGCGGAAUGGUAGACGCCGCGGACUUAAAAUCCGUUGCAGGGCAACCUGCGUGCCGGUUCGAGUCCGGCCGGUGGUA
rnacentral:tRNA from 1 species